ACUCCUACGGGAGGCAGCAGUGGGAAUCUUGGACAAUGGGGCAACCGUGCAUCCAGCCAUGCCGCGUGAGUGAUGAAGGCCUUAGGGUCGUAAAGCUCUUUCGCCUGUGAAGAUAAUGACGGUAGCAGGUAAAGAAACCCGCGUACAUCCGUGCCAGCAGCCGCGGUAAUACGGAGGGGGUUAGCGUUGUUCGGAAUUACUGGGCGUAAAGCGCACGUAGGCGGAUCGGAAAGUUGGGGGUGAAAUCCCGGGGCUCAA
rnacentral:rRNA from 1 species